rnacentral:rRNA from 1 species
CACGGGGGUUGCGAGCGUUAUCCGGAAUUACUGGGCGUAAAGGGUGCGUAGGUGGUUUCUUAAGUCAGAGGUGAAAGGCUACGGCUCAACCGUAGUAAGCCUUUGAAACUGGGAAACUUGAGUGCAGGAGAGGAGAGUGGAAUUCCUAGUGUAGCGGUGAAAUGCGUAGAGAUUCGGAGGAACACCAGUAGCGAAGGCGGCUUUUCUGGACCAUAACUGACGCUCAGGCACGAAAGCGUGGGGAGCAAACAGGAUUAGAUACCCGGGUUGUCCCUGAGCGGGCUGG